UACGGAGGGUGCAAGCGUUAUCCGGAUUCACUGGGUUUAAAGGGUGCGUAGGUGGGUUGAUAAGUCAGUGGUGAAAUCCCCGAGCUUAACUUGGGAACUGCCAUUGAUGCUAUUGAUCUUGAAUACCGUGGAGGUCAGCGGAAUAUGUCAUGUAGCGGUGAAAUGCUUAGAUAUGACAUAGAACACCAAUUGCGAAGGCAGCUGGCUACACAAUUAUUGACACUGAGGCUCGAAAGCGUGGGGAUCAAACAGG
rnacentral:rRNA from 1 species